rnacentral:lncRNA from 1 species
UUUUAUUUGACAACAUAUGUCUUUGAUUCAUUUCCAUUUUUAAAAGGAGAAUGAAUAUCUCUAUUUCUACAAGUACUCCAAUAUAUUAAGGAUUGUGGUUUUAUGGAUACUCCUCAAGUCUAUUGUUUACAAAUUUUGAGUCUUUUUUUUCAAUACCCUUUUUUUUGAAAAAAAAAACACUAAAAUAUUUUCAUUUGAAAAAAAUAUAUCAAAAUGUCAUCUUUUUUUAAAAAUCAAGUGGAAAGUUGUCAUUUGGAACUCGGGCUUCCUUAAGGAAGUCCCAUUUCAAAUAGAAGAAAAAAAAUGAAACAUUUUGGUAUAUUUUU